GCAAAUUCAAACACCAUUUAAAGUUCACAAUACUCAGUUCACCCAAUACAUUUUUGAAAUCUGCACUAAUACAACUUCUCCAAGCUAGCCCCUCCACUUUCAAGCUUGAUAAAUGGAUCCAUAUAGGAAUGCUUCAAUGU